UAGACCUUACAGUGAAAUGCCGAAUACAACAGGUGUAGUAGACCUUACAGUGAAAUGCUGAAUACAACAGGUGUAGUAGACCUUACAGUGAAAUGCCGAAUACAACAGGUGUAGUAGACCUUACAGUGAAAUGCCGAAUACAACAGGUGUAGUAGACCUCACAGUGAAAUGCUGAAUACAACAGGUGUAGUAGACCUUACAGUGAAAUGCUGAAUACAACAGGUGUAGUAGACCUUACAGUGAAAUGCUGAAUACAACAGGUGUAGUAGACCUUACAGUGAAAUGCCGAAUACAACAGGUGUAGUAGACCUUACAGUGAAAUGCUGAAUACAACAGGUGUAGUAGACCUUACAGUGAAAUGCUGAAUACAACAGGUGUAGUAGACCUUACAGUGAAAUGCCGAAUACAACAGGUGUAGUAGACCUUACAGUGAAAUGCUGAAUACAACAGGUGUAGUAGACCUUACAGUGAAAUGCUGAAUACAACAGGUGUAGUAGACCUUACAGUGAAAUGCUGAAUACAACAGGUGUAGUAGACCUUACAGUGAAAUGCUGAAUACAACAGGUGUAGUAGACCUUACAGUGAAAUGCCGAAUACAACAGGUGUAGUAGACCUUACAGUGAAAUGCUGAAUACAACAGGUGUAGUAGACCUUACAGUGAAAUGCCGAAUACAACAGGUGUAGUAGACCUUACAGUGAAAUGCCGAAUACAACAGGUGUAGUAGACCUUACAGUGAAAUGCUGAAUACAACAGGUGUAGUAGACCUUACAGUGAAAUGCUGAAUACAACAGGUGUAGUAGACCUUACAGUGAAAUGCUGAAUACAACAGGUGUAGUAGACCUUACAGUGAAAUGCUGAAUACAACAGGUGUAGUAGACCUUACAGUGAAAUGCUGAAUACAACAGGUGUAGUAGACCUUACAGUGAAAUGCCGAAUACAACAGGUGUAGUAGACCUUACAGUGAAAUGCUGAAUACAACAGGUGUAGUAGACCUUACAGUGAAAUGCCGAAUACAACAGGUGUAGUAGACCUUACAGUGAAAUGCCGAAUACAACAGGUGUAGUAGACCUUACAGUGAAAUGCUGAAUACAACAGGUGUAGUAGACCUUACAGUGAAAUGCAGAAUACAACAGGUGUAGUAGACCUUACAGUGAAAUGCUGAAUACAACAGGUGUAGUAGACCUUACAGUGAAAUGCCGAAUACAACAGGUGUAGUAGACCUUACAGUGAAAUGCAGAAUACAACAGGUGUAGUAGACCUUACAGUGAAAUGCUGAAUACAACAGGUGUAGUAGACCUUACAGUGAAAUGCUGAAUACAACAGGUGUAGUAGACCUUACAGUGAAAUGCCGAAUACAACAGGUGUAGUAGACCUUACAGUGAAAUGCUGAAUACAACAGGUGUAGUAGACCUUACAGUGAAAUGCUGAAUACAACAUGUGUAGUAGACCUUACAGUGAAAUGCUGAAUACAACAGGUGUAGUAGACCUUACAGUGAAAUGCUGAAUACAACAGGUGUAGUAGACCUUACAGUGAAAUGCUGAAUACAACAGGUGUAGUAGACCUUACAGUGAAAUGCUGAAUACAACAGGUGUAGUAGACCUUACAGUGAAAUGCUGAAUACAACAGGUGUAGUAGACCUCACAGUGAAA